rnacentral:lncRNA from 1 species
CAUCUCAGUAAUACCAAAUCUCCGAUAAAAACCAUUGUCGUGGCUUUUUUCUAGACUCUUCUUCUUCUUCUUCGCUGUGUGAACGCUCACGGUCCAGAUCCUCCUCUCAAUUGAUGAUUCUGAGAAACGUCUGCAACUAUGACAUUCAAUCAACUACGACCAGUUCUUGAGCUUCAAUUCAUCGAUACAAUUUUUCUAGGCUCUCUCUUUCUGCCGUCCAGUUUUCUCUUGGAGAUGUCAAAUCUGUACCCUCCGUGGAGAUUUCCUUUAAUCUUGCUAGAGAUUUACUGGUAAAUUUUCUCACCUGGGUCAUUUGGUUUAAUGAUCUAGAACAGGUUUUGGGCAAGCGUAAAAUUUUCCGUUGUUAAUUUUUUCUCAGGUGAUUUGGCAAGGAAGAGCCAAAGACUCGCGGUUAACAGAUGAGAGCUAAGAAACAGAGGAUGUCGACCAUUGAGAUCAGAAGAGAUUGAUUCAUUCCUUUUACCUCCAGGUUGCUCCUAGAUAUGUCACGUUAUACUUUACCAGAUCUUUUGCUCUCGAUGCAGG